rnacentral:rRNA from 1 species
UACGGGGGGGGCAAGCGUUGUUCGGAAUUACUGGGCGUAAAGGGCUCGUAGGUGGUCAACUAAGUCGGACGUGAAAUCCCUCGGCUUAACCGGGGAACUGCAUCUGAUACUGGAUGGCUUGAGUUCGGGAGAGGGAUGCGGAAUUCCAGGUGUAGCGGUGAAAUGCGUAGAUAUCGAGAGGAACACCUGCGGCGAAGGCGGGUUGCUGGGCUGACACUGACGCUGAGGUGCGAAAGCGUGGGGAGCAAACAGG